GAUGAACGCUGGCGGCGUGCCUAACACAUGCACGUCGAGCGAUUUACUUCGGUAAAGAGCGGAGGACGGGGGAGUAACGCGUGGGUACCCUGCCCUGUACACACGGAUAACAUACCGAAAGGUAUGCUAAUACGCGAUAAUAUGCUUUUAUCGCAUGGCAGAAGUAUUAAAGCUUUUACGGUACAGUAUGGACCCGCGUCUGAUUAUCUAGUUGGUGAGGUCACGGCUCACCACGGCGACGACCACUAGCCGAGAGUAGAGGGGGAUCGACGAUAUCGGAACUGAGACACGGACCAAUCACCUAGGGGAGAGAGCAGUGGGGAAUAUGGUACAAUGGUAGAUAGCCUGAUUCUGCAACGCCGCGUGAGAGAAGAAGCACGUCAUGACGUAAAGCACUGGUCUCAAGGAAGUUAAUGACGGUACUUUAGGAGGAGGACCCGGCUAACUACGUG
rnacentral:rRNA from 1 species